rnacentral:pre_miRNA from 1 species
GAUGUACUCCCUCCGUUCGGAAUUACUUGUCGCAGAAAUGGAUGUAUCUAAAUGUAUUUUAGUUCUAGAUACAUCCAUUUCCAAGACAAGUAAUUCUGAACGGAGGGAGUACAUA